AGUGGGAUAGCUGGGUAAAAAUGUGGUUUAAUUCCCAGUUUUCCAAGGAAUUAUCAUAUUGCUUUCCAUAUUGGUGGCACCAUUUUGCAGUCCCACCAGCAAU
rnacentral:pre_miRNA from 1 species